UUUUGGACAAUGGGCGCAAGCCUGAUCCAGCCAUUCCGCGUGAGUGAAGAAGGCCUUCGGGUUGUAAGGCUCUUUCGCAAGGGAAGAAAACUUACUUUCUAAUAAAGAGUGAGGUUGACGGUACCUUGAUAAGAAGCACCGGCUAACUACGUGCCAGCAGCCGCGGUAAUACGUAGGGUGCGAGCGUUAAUCGGAAUUACUGGGCGUAAAGCGUGCGCAGGCGGCUUUGUAAGUCAGAUGUGAAAUCCCCGAGCUCAACUUGGGAACUGCGUUUGAAACUACAAGGCUAGAAUAUGUCAGAGGGGGGUAGAAUUCCACGUGUAGCAGUGAAAUGCGUAGAGAUGUGGAGGAAUACCGAGGCGAAGGCAGCCCCCUGGGGUAAUAUUGACGCUCAUGCACGAA
rnacentral:rRNA from 1 species